rnacentral:tRNA from 1 species
GGAGAAGUACCCAAGCGGCUCAAGGGGCUCCCCUGCUAAGGGAGUAGUAGGUUGACGCCUAGCCCGGGUUCAAAUCCCGGCUUCUCCGCCA